rnacentral:rRNA from 1 species
CACGUAGGGGGCGAGCGUUGUCCGGAUUUAUUGGGCGUAAGAGCUCGUAGGCGGCUCAGUAAGUCAGGUGUGAAACCUCCAGGCUCAACCUGGAGACGCCACCUGAUACUGCCGUGGCUAGAGUCCGGUAGAGGAGCGUAGAAUUCCUGGUGUAGCGGUGAAAUGCGCAGAUAUCAGGAGGAAUACCAGCGGCGAAGGCGGCGCUCUGGGCCGGUACUGACGCUGAGGAGCGAAAGCGUGGGGAGCAAACAGG